rnacentral:rRNA from 1 species
UUGGAGGGCAAGUCUGGUGCCAGCAGCCGCGGUAAUUCCAGCUCCAAUAGCGUAUAUUAAACUUGUUGCAGUUAAAAAGCUCGUAGAUGAAUUUCAGCCUGUUGCACUAGCUCGAGUAGCGCGUUGCAAUUGGCUUAUUUUAUUACUUUGAGAAAAUUAGAGUGCUUCAAGC